rnacentral:rRNA from 1 species
UCGGAAACUGUGUUUCUUGAGUGCAGAAGAGGAGAGUGGAACUCCAUGUGUAGCGGUGGAAUGCGUAGAUAUAUGGAAGAACACCAGUGGCGAAAGCGGCUCUCUGGUCUGUAACUGACGCUGAGGUUCGAAAGCGUGGGUAGCAAACAGG